rnacentral:rRNA from 1 species
GAUGAACGCUGGCGGCGUGCCUAAUACAUGCAAGUCGAGCGAACGGACGAGAAGCUUGCUUCUCUGAUGUUAGCGGCGGACGGGUGAGUAACACGUUGAUAACCUACCUAUAAGACUGGGAUAACUUCGGGAAACCGGAGCUAAUACCGGAUAAUAUUUUGAACCGCAUGGUUCAAAAGUGAAAGACGGUCUUGCUGUCACUUAUAUAUUGAUCCUCGCUGCAUUAGCUAGUUGGUAAGGUAACGGCUUACCAAGGCAACGAUGCAUAGCCGACCUGAGUGGGUGAACGGCCACACUAGAACUGAGACAAGCUCCAGACUCCUACGGGAGGCAGAAGUAGGGAAUCUUCCGCAAUGGGCGAAAGCCUGACGGAGCAACGCCGCGUGAGUGAUGAAGGUCUUCGGAUAGUAAAACUCUGUUAUUAGGGAAGAACAUAUGUGUAAGUAACUGUGCACAUAUUGACGGUACCUAAUCAGAAAGCCACGGCUAACUACGUG